UGACUGAACUCAUGCUCACCAGAGCUCACUUUCACUGCUGGGCCAUUUUCAUGGAUGGGAAAGGGCAUUUCUCACCCAGUUCAACUGUGGCCUACUUCACCAUGUAAAGUUGCAGCAUCUGACUUUGCUGAAGAGGAGGAGGAAACUUUUGGAUUAUUGAUAAUGUGAGAAAGCCUGAGCAGAAGGAUUGCUUUUCAGUCCAAGUUACUGAGACUGUGAAGUAGAAACAGAUUUACCUGCCAGAAUGUGGAAUUUUGCAAUCCUUCUGUCUACUUGAGAAUGACUAAAGAGGGCCGUCGAUUAGAAGCAUUGAAGAGUAUGGAAUGCAUGGAAUCAAAGGGACAACAGGUGAAGAAUACAACAAAGGAACUUCUUCAUGAAGUGGGGUCGGAGGACAGGCUGCUCCGUUCUGCACAGAGGGAAAGACCAUGAAAAGUCCUGAAAUAUCCAAAUGUAAACUCCAAAUGUUGGUCUGUGACUACUUGCUGACUAGGAACGGAAACCCAAAUCAAACAAGAUUCUAGAAAGAUUUUCCAAUCCUUAAGGACAAUAGAGAAAAAAACAUCAACCUUUCUCUACUCAGCAAAGACAAGUUUAAACAGAUCUUGGGUUCAACAGGAGAUUCAUUUUCCAUGGCAAAGAAUCCAAGCACUGGAAUAAGUCAGAGGUAUCAUUUGCUGAAUAUUUUUGUAAAGACAGUUCAAUUUCAGGCCCUUUAUUUGCAAGAGCGCUGGCUAACCCAAAUAAAACAUUAUACAUCUGUCUGUUGUUACGA